rnacentral:tRNA from 2 species
AUUUAAAUAGCUUAUAAAGAGCAUGAUAUUGAAGCUAUCAAGGAAAUAUAUUUAUAUUUUUAAAUA